CCUACGGGAGUCAGCAGUGGGGGAUAUUGGACAAUGGGGGAAACCCUGAUCCAGCGACGCCGCGUGAGUGAAGCAGUAUUUCGGUAUGUAAAGCUCUAUCAGCAGGGAAGAAAGAAAUGACGGUACCUGAGUAAUAAGCCCCGGCUAACUACGUGACAGCAGCCGCGGUCAUACGUAGGGGGCAAGCGUUAUCCGGAAUUACUGGGUGUAAAGGGAGCGUAGACGGUAAUGCAAGUCUGGAGUGAAUGGCGGGGAACCAACCCCCGGACUGCUCUGGAACCUGUGUAACUGGAGUGCAGGAGAGGCAGGCGGAAUUCCUAGUGUAGCGGUGAAAUGCGUAGAUAUUAGGAGGAGCACCAGUGGCGAAGGCGGCCUGCUGGACUGUAACUGACGUUGAGGCUCGAAAGCGUGGGGAGCAAACAGGAUUAGAUACCCCAGUAGUC
rnacentral:rRNA from 1 species